GACGAACGCUGGCGGCAUGCCUAAUACAUGCAAGUCGAGCGAACAGAUGAAGUGCUUGCACUUCUGACGUUAGCGGCGAACGGGUGAGUAACACGUAAGGAAUCUACCUAUAAGCGGGGGAUAACAUUCGGAAACGGGUUCUAAUAACGCAUAAUAUCCUCUUCCGCAUGGACGAAGACUGAAAGACGGCUCUGCUGUCACUUAUAGAUGACCUUGCGGUGCAUUAGUUAGUUGGUGGGGUAACGGCCUACCAAGACGAUGAUGCAUAGCCGACCUGAGAGAGUGAUCGGCCACAUUAGAACUGAGACACGGCCCAAACUCCUACGGGAGGCAGCAGUAGGGAAUCUUCCGCAAGGGGCGAAAGCCUGACUGAGCAAUGCCGCGUGAGUGAAGAAGGCCUUCGGGUCGUAAAACUCUGUUAUAAGAGAAGAACAAAUUGUAGAGUAACUGCUACAGUCUUGACGGUAUCUUAUCAGAAAGCCACGGCUAACUACGUGCCAGCCGCCGCCGUAA
rnacentral:rRNA from 1 species